GGGACAGAGCGGUGCUGUGAGGAGCCCCCGCACAGCGCACUCGUUCCUGUCUGACCUGGAGCUUUUCUGAGGCGUUGUUCCUGCAGCUGACCUUGAGGCCAGACUCAGGACCUGGUGACCUGUGGCCUUCCGAGGCUUCUGUUUGGCAGUGCCCUCAAGGGCAGAGCGUGGGACUUGGUGCUCCGGAGCUUUUCCAAGGCAUCUGUCCUGCUACUAGCUCCAGUCACUGACAUGGAGCAGAGACCCCCAAGAGACCCUAGGAUGGCCUGGGUGGAGGAGGAGGAAGAAGGCUCUGGAGCUGACCCAGGAGAGGAGACAGAAGAGGUGGUGCCAUUCCAUCCACCACAGGAGGAUGCAGCCAUGGAGCGCACACAAGAGCAGCAAUCCAGCCGUGGCCACUUCCGCAAAACAGCGCAGCUCAUUUGCAAAUUCAUCAAGAGGAUUCAGCAGGAAGAGACCAUCACCAGGGGCGCUGCGUACAGACCAUACUCGCCCAUCUUCCAAAGCAAGAGCAGUGCUGCCCUGCUGUAUAUGCUUGUAGAGGAAGAUUGUUACCAUCCAAAGCAAAUACGCAGCCUGUGGCCAGCGUUUCAUCCUCCCAGGAACUUCUUGGCCUCCCCAGCCACACCUGCUGGUCCUUGUGAGCCUUUGAGGCCAUCACAGUGUGGUGGGAUGGGAAGAACAUCUCUGGGGAAGCUGGGGACAUUGCUCCCUCUGGCAGCUUUCCAAGUUUCCCUGUGCCUUCUCCAGGUGCCCGCCA